rnacentral:rRNA from 1 species
UUAAUUGAAGAGUUUGAUCAUGGCUCAGAUUGAACGCUGGCGGCAGGCCUAACACAUGCAAGUCGAGCGGCAGCACAGAGGAACUUGUUCCUUGGGUGGCGAGCGGCGGACGGGUGAGUAAUGCCUGGGAAAUUGCCCGGUAGAGGGGGAUAACCAUUGGAAACGAUGGCUAAUACCGCAUAACCUCGCAAGAGCAAAGCAGGGGACCUUCGGGCCUUGCGCUACCGGAUAUGCCCAGGUGGGAUUAGCUAGUUGGUGAGGUAAGGGCUCACCAAGGCGACGAUCCCUAGCUGGUCUGAGAGGAUGAUCAGCCACACUGGAACUGAGACACGGUCCAGACUCCUACGGGAGGCAGCAGUGGGGAAUAUUGCACAAUGGGCGCAAGCCUGAUGCAGCCAUGCCGCGUGUAUGAAGAAGGCCUUCGGGUUGUAAAGUA